AAUAAUGGACAAUGGGGGCAACACUGAUCCAGCCAUGACGCGUGUGUGAAGAACGUCGUCGGAUUGUAAAGCACUUUAAGUUGGGAGGAAGGGCUUUAGGCUAAUACCCUGAAGUUUUGACGUUACCAACAGAUUUAGCACCGGCUAACUCUGUGCCCGCAGCCGCGGUAAUACAGAGGGUGCAAGCGUUAAUCGGAAGUACUGGGCGUAAAGCGCGCGUAGGUGGUUCAGUAAGAUGGGUGUGAAAUCCCCGGGCUUAACCUGGGAACUGCUUUCAUAACUGCUGGGCUAGAGUACGGUAGAGGGUAGUGGAAUUUCCUGUGUAGCGGUGAAAUGCGUAGAUAUAGGAAGGAACACCAGUGGCGAAGGCGACUACCUGGACUGAUACUGACACUGAGGUGCGAAAGCGUGGGGAGCAAAC
rnacentral:rRNA from 1 species